AGUGAACGCUGGCGGUAGGCCUAACACAUGCAAGUCGAACGGCAGCACAGUAAGAGCUUGCUCUUACGGGUGGCGAGUGGCGGACGGGUGAGGAAUACAUCGGAAUCUACUUUUUCGUGGGGGAUAACGUAGGGAAACUUACGCUAAUACCGCAUACGACCUACGGGUGAAAGCAGGGGAUCUUCGGACCUUGCGCGAUUGAAUGAGCCGAUGUCGGAUUAGCUAGUUGGCGGGGUAAAGGCCCACCAAGGCGACGAUCCGUAGCUGGUCUGAGAGGAUGAUCAGCCACACUGGAACUGAGACACGGUCAAGACUCCUAAGGGAGGCAGCAGUGGGGAAUAUGGGACAAUGGGCGCAAGCCUGAUCCAGCCAUACCGCGUGGGUGAAGAAGGCCUUCGGGUUGUAAAGCCCUUUUGUUGGGAAAGAAAAGCAGCAGGUUAAUACGCCGCUGUUCUGACGGUACCCAAAGAAUAAGCACCGGCUAACUUCGUG
rnacentral:rRNA from 1 species